rnacentral:tRNA from 1 species
GCGUUACUAGUGUUCAACGGUAGCAUGUCUGGUUUCCACCCAGAAGGUAGGAGUUCGAAUCUCCUGUGACGUUCCA